ensembl:lincRNA
AUGUCUCUGUCAGUCACACGGGGCCUGGACAUGGCGGUCGCCGGCAGCUGGCAGGUGAGUGUGCUGGGCUGCGGGGCUGCGGGGCUGCGGGGCUGGGUGGGGUUAGGUUCCGGGUCUGCCCGCGCUCAAGCUGUCUCUGCCCGCAGCCUCCCCGGCCCUGCGAGGUCUACCGCUCUGAGUGGGAGCUCUGCCGCAGCGCCAGGCACAUCCUACACCACUACUACGUCCACGGCGAGCGGCCGGACUGCAGGCAGUGGCUGCGCGACCUGGCCAGCUGCCGCGAAUGGGAGGAGAGCCGCAGCCCCGAGGCCCAGCGAUCCCUCUGUGAGAGUGAGCAGGCACGGGUCCAGGCUGCACAGAAGCACACCCUGGUAUGGACCUUGAGGCAGAGGCCCCCUGCAGACUGGAACCUCCCUCUACCACAGGAGAAGGACAAGUGAUGAGUGACAAGCAACCGCAACCCUGCCCUUGACCUGGACUUGGACUAGCUUCCACCUGACCUGGAACACAGAGGAAGGCAUUUCCUGCUCUAACUGCCUAUUGCCCACCUGCAUCUGAGCAUCUCACCACUGUGAUACUCUGAAAGGUACCUAUGUCUGCAAUUGCAGGAAGCCAAGCACUGUGGCAGGUACCUGUGAGCAGCUGGGUUGGUCCAUCUUGUCCAUGCCACCUCCCCUGAGGACAACCACACCAGAGGUGGCAGUCCUGAUAUGUGAGAACCUUAAGUGCACAGUGGCGGCCCUGACCUGUGCAAAUAUAUGGCACAGUAGACAGAAGAAGGUUGCUAAAUGGUUCUGUUGCAGGUGGUUCUCCUUGACCAUGAAAAAUGGACCUCGGUGCUUUGGGUGAUUACUGUGUUAUCCAUGGGUGGAGCUCAGACUGGCUCAGCUCCCCUGGAGAUACAGUAGAGCAUGCUCAGUGGGCAGAGCAACUUGCCCCUCGGCACCAGCCCCUUUUACUGGUUUUGCAGACUUUUAAAAGGAAAUGCACACAGCUUUGCAGGAACCACAGAAUCUGAGGUCAAGAGUUCAAGUCCAAGGAAUAUGGGAUUUAGAAUUCCUGAUUUCUCCUUGUCGUUAAUGUAUUAAAAGCCAUUUCAGAUGUUCGAUUCCAACAGAAACCCAAAAUUAAUUAUACUUUGUACCUGACCUACUUAGAGUAUGUUUAUCUAUUGCUGUGACGAAACACUGACCAAAAGCAAGUUGGGGAGGAAAGAGUUUAUUUGGCUUACACUUCUACAUUGUAGUCCGUCAUUGGUGGGAGUCAGGACAGGAACUCACACAGGGCAAGAACCUGGAGGCAGGAGCUGAUGCAGAAGCCAUGGAGGAGCGCUGCUUACUGGCUUGCUCAUCAUGGUUGCUCAGCCUGCUUUUUUAUAGAACCCAGGACCACAGUCCAGGGAUGGAACCACUCACAGUGGGCUGGGCCCUCACCCACUGAUCACUAAUUUAAAAAAUGCCCACUGGAGUUGGGCGUUGGAGGCGCACGCCUUUAAUCCCAGCACUUUGGAGGCAGAGGCAGGUAGAUCUCUGUGAGUUCGAGGCCAGCCUGGGCUACAGAAUAAGUGCCAGGACAGGCUCCAAAGCUACAGAGAAACCCUGUCUUGAAAAACAAAACAAAACAAACAAACAAACAAAAAUGCCAACUGGGUUGUGUGGCACAUGCCUUCAAACCUAGCACUUGGAAGGCAGAGGCCGAUGGAUCUUGGUGAGUUUGAGGCCAGUCUGGUCUGCAUAGUGAGUUUCAAGACAGCCAGCGCUAAACAAACAACAAAACAAAUGGGGGCUGGGAAGAUGGCUCAGAGGUUAAGAGCACUGGCUGUUCUUCCAGAGGCCCUGGGUUCAAUUUCCAGCAACUACAUGGUGGCUCAACCAUCUAUAGUGAGAUUUGGUGCCUUCUUCUGGCAUGUAGGCAUACAUGCAGGCAGAACACUGUGUAUAUAAUAAAUAAAUAAAUCUUUAAAAACAAACAAACAAUUGCCCGACAGCUGUAACUUAUGGAGGCAUUUUCUCGAUUGAGGUUCCCUUCUUUCAUAUAACUCUAGCUCAGUCAUUCUUAACCUUCCUAAUGCUGCGACCCUUUAAUAUAGUUCCUCAUAUUGUGGUAAACCCCAACUGUAAAAUUACUUCAUAACUGUAAUUUUGCUACUGUUAUAAACCGUAAUGUAAAUAUCUGAUAUUCAGGAUAUACGAUAUGCAAGCCCUGUGAAAGGGUUGUUUGACCUCCAAAGGGGUCUCAACCUACAGGCCUAGAACUUCUACCAGCUUGUGUCAAGUUGAUAUAAAACUAGCCAGCACAAUGCCCAACAAUGCUAUACCCAGGUUAGUAUUUUGUUCUUUUGUAGUGUUUUAAAUGUUUACUUAAAUAUACACAUGUGUCAACAUGCAUACAGGUACACAUAUGCUUGAACAUACACCCACACACAUGCACACAUCCACACAUGUGAACAUGACCAAGUAUGCAUACAGGUAAUGUACACACAUGUCACACACAUUCUUAAGCAUGUACACAUAUGCCUGCACACAUUCAAGCACACAUGCACACUCACACAGGCACGGACACACACAAACACUAGCUCUCAUAGAGAGCUCUUCAUUACUAAGAUGGUCAAAUGUCUUGUGGCUGCACUGAGGCCCUAUUGAGAUGCUAAGGCCAGUCUGGUCCAGCUGCAUGCCCAGCACCCUUUCUGCAGCCUUCCUGGCCAUAAGCAGUAGGGUGACCAUCUCUGAGGAAGAAUUAUGGAUGUCUUCAGAAAGGAUACAUUGUAGAAUAAAAUGUCCCUCCUGAGUGUUCUACACUGUUGUGAAUGAUGGUACUUACACACUCACAGGAACUCCAAUGAGGAAGCGGGAUUUGCCGUUUCCGGGGGACAGUCACUUCAAGGUGAGGGGUCUUCACUAGCUUAAUUUCAGAAUGUGCAUUUCCCAAUAGUGGGGACAGAGAAGGUGCUAGGGAGUGGCAGUCAGCACGUGCUAUCUGGAGAGGCAGCUGUUACCUUGUUAAACCUGUUCCUGUACCAGUUCAUGAGAGAGUCCUCCUGCAGCCACAAUUCCUGUCACCUGCUGUUUUGUUCCAGGCUGGAAAUCCCAACAUAGAACUUGGAUAGAAGUUCCCUGCAUUUACCCUGUGUUCAUUUUUUGUUCUUUUUUCAGUGCUGACAAACAAGCCAGGACAUUGUAUAAGGGGUCCUUGGAAUCAGCCCAGAACACAUCCAGAUUCCAAAUUCUCAAAACAAAAAAGAUUUAUCACCCUGGAAGUGCUUAUUCCAUAUAAAAGCAUUUCAUUCUGUGUGUGUGUGUGUGUGUGUGUGUGUGUGUGUGUGUGUGUCGGGGGCAGGGGUGAGGAGGCCUGCCUCUGGAUUGGACAGAGACAGACGGCAGUUGUUUGUGCAGAAGUGCUAGGGUGAGUUGGUAAGUCCUGAUUGGACAGUUUAGCCAGUAUAGCCAAAUAAUGAAUUUUGAUUGCUGAACUUUGGUGUUUUGAUAGGUGGAUCUUGGAGUUUUAGUCAGGCAGAGGAAGUGGCCAAAUAAGGAAAUAAACCUUGUGACUAGGGCUAUAGAGAUGGCUCAGUGGUUAAGAGCACUGACUGCUCUUCCAGAGGUCCUGAGUUCAAUUUCCGGCAACCACAUGCUGGCUUACAACCACUGAAAGACCCCCGAAGAGGCACUUUCGUAGAGGGAGACCCACACACCCAGGAAUCAGCGAGGCCACGAACUGGAUGCAAAAAACAAGAGGCUUUAUUGGAGACGCGGGUACCCGGGGCGACUUAGCUUUUGUGUGGCUAAGCGCCCCGAGCCAAGGGAAAAGGGGUCCUUAUAUAGGAAAAAGGCGCAAGCUAGGAGCAGGGAUUCUAUUGGAUAAUUCUAAUGAGGCAUUAUACAGAGCUAUUCCCAUUGGUCAAUGUAUAUGAGGCGCUAUACAGGGUUAUUCAAAUGAGGCAAAGUACAGAGUUAUUCAAAUGAGGUGAAACACAGAGUCUUUCAAAUGAGGCGAAAUACAGAAUCAUUUCCAUUGGAUGGUUCAAAUGAGACACAGAGCCAUUCCAGAUCAGCAUAUUCUCAAGGUCUGGUGUCUGGUACAGCAGACUCAAUUCCCCCCCCCUUCCUGAUGGCUGACCUUGGGGGCGGAGACCUUGGGACGGAGUGUUUCUCUUCGGGCGGGG